UGGGGAAUAUUGGACAAUGGGCGAAAGCCUGAUCCAGCCAUGCCGCGUGUGUGAAGAAGGUCUUCGGAUUGUAAAGCACUUUAAGUUGGGAGGAAGGGCAGUAAGCGAAUACCUUGCUGUUUUGACGUUACCGACAGAAUAAGCACCGGCUAACUCUGUGCCAGCAGCCGCGGUAAUACAGAGGGUGCGAGCGUUAAUCGGAUUUACUGGGCGUAAAGCGUGCGUAGGCGGCUAAUUGAGUCGGAUGUGAAAUCCCCGAGCUUAACUUGGGAAUUGCAUUCGAUAGUGGUUAGCUAGAGUGUGGGAGAGGAUGGUAGAAUUCCAGGUGUAGCGGUGAAAUGCGUAGAGAUCUGGAGGAAUACCGAUGGCGAAGGCAGCCAUCUGGCCUAACACUGACGCUGAGGUACGAAAGCAUGGGGAGCAAACAGG
rnacentral:rRNA from 1 species